UUUACAAAAGAAAACAGAGCGUUCCUGCUUCUUGUUGGUGUGAAAACUCUUCAGUGGUCUUCGUGCUCACAGAUCAAGCUUUGUGGCAUUGUCUACUUCUCGAGCUCGUGGUCUUCGUGCUCACAGAAAUUUCAUGGUUUGAUCUUCUUCUCGAUUUCUACUUCGGCACCGAGAUCUUCAAGUGGAUCUGUGCAAGUAUUUUCGUGGGUCACCAACUCCGUGUGGGUCAUCUUCAAGAGGCCAUAAGCAACCACUGAGUUGGUCUUCUUCGUCGUGUGGGUAUUUUUGUGGGUAUUUUCUACUGGGUCAUCUUCGUGUGGAUGUGGGUCAUCUUCGCGGGGGUCAUCUUCAUGGUGAGGGGCAAAUACUUACGAGCAAGGUUCUCCAGCUCGUGAAAACUCAUCUUCACUCCUCGGAGAGAAUUUCAUCCAGCUCUCAAAUUACACUUCUUAUUUAUGUUGCAUUUUUUACUUUGUUUCUUCGAUGUGUUUGAUGCGAGAUCUAACCAACUACCCGUUGUCUUGACUUUCCAUUGUUUAAGCAAUAGUUGGGUGGUCAAGGAGUUGAGGAAGCCCAAGCAAGCUCUUGAGGAGUAUUGUCUGUGGAGGCUGUGCUGCUUAGGACAUGUUGAAGCUGCAAUGGAGUGUAGUCACACUUUGAGCAAAUGCAUUUAUGUUUAAUUGUAUAAUGUAAUUUAGCUUCAUUCCCAAACUGGCCAGAAUAGAAGUGGGACAGGAUGGAGUUAUUCCCAUGUACUGUUAAUUAGUCUCUCUUAUUAUAGUUUGUGCCGUUUUGGCACUAAGAUAAAAUGUUAAAGAGUCUUGUGGUUUUUCAUGGUCAAAACAGAUAGGUAUAUUUAUUUAUGCUGGAGUUAGUACCCAGGUUUUGUCUCCAUUGUUUUUUUCUUGAAUGAGAACUCUAAGUGGUACUCAUAUCCUUCGGUUGGAAUAUAGGUUUUAAGUAAUGAAAAUGCCAUUUUUUGAGUUUUGGUA